UGCAGCUGGAAGGGCAUCUGCUGCAUGUGCUAGAGUUAGCUACUCAAUGAAGCUAAGCAGGGCUGAGCCUGGUCAGUACCUGGAUGGGAGACCACUAGGGAACACUAGGUUGCUGUUGGAA
rnacentral:rRNA from 1 species